AACGAACGCUGGCGGCAUGCCUAACACAUGCAAGUCGAACGAAGUCUUCGGACUUAGUGGCGCACGGGUGCGUAACGCGUGGGAAUCUGCCCUUGGGUACGGAAUAACUCAGAGAAAUUUGUGCUAAUACCGUAUAAUGUCUUCGGACCAAAGAUUUAUCGCCCAAGGAUGAGCCCGCGUAAGAUUAGCUAGUUGGUGGGGUAAAAGCCUACCAAGGCGACGAUCUUUAGCUGGUCUGAGAGGAUGAUCAGCCACACUGGGACGGAGACACGGCCCAGACUCCUACGGGAGGCAGCAGUGGGGAAUAUUGGACAAUGGGCGAAAGCCUGAUCCAGCAAUGCCGCGUGAGUGAUGAAGGCCUUAGGGUUGUAAAGCUCUUUUACCCGGGAUGAUAAUGACAGUACCGGGAGAAUAAGCUCCGGCUAACUCCGUGCCAGCCGCCGCCGUAAAAC
rnacentral:rRNA from 1 species